AGUUGCUUUACAGCAGGCAGCUGUCUUUACCCAUUCAUUGUACAUGUAUAAGCAAGGAGGUUCCUCGGGCAAGUCAGCGGGAUUACUUGAAUUAAUGACAGCAACGCCUGUGGCCGAGCGGAAAAUCACGGGCGUUACCUCAGUGGGGAGCCGCUCCGACAGGUAGUGGAACGGUAGCGAGGUAAAUUAUUAACGUAGUAUGACAACGCGGCGGUUAAGUGCAUUCAUAUACUAUAAACUACGUGUGAGUAUCUAAAUGCUGUAAGAAAUGAUUAUUCGACAAUGGAAUAAAUGAUAGUAAAA